rnacentral:tRNA from 1 species
UAGGCAGAAGCCUGUUGGUUUAGGCGUCUAGCUGUUAAUUAGAAUNNUAUGGGAUCGAAGCCCAUCUGUCUAG